rnacentral:rRNA from 1 species
ACCUAUACGUUGCCUCGGCGGAUCAGCCCGCGCCCCGUAAAACGGGACGGCCCGCCCGAGGACCCCUAAACUCUGUUUUUAGUGGAACUUCUGAGUAAAACAAACAAAUAAAUCAAAACUUUCAACAACGGAUCUCUUGGUUCUGGCAUCGAUGAAGAACGCAGCAAAAUGCGAUAAGUAAUGUGAAUUGCAGAAUUCAGUGAAUCAUCGAAUCUUUGAACGCACAUUGCGCCCGCCAGUAUUCUGGCGGGCAUGCCUGUUCGAGCGUCAUUUCAACCCUCAAGCUCAGCUUGGUGUUGGGACUCGCGGUAACCCGCGUUCCCCAAAUCGAUUGGCGGUCACGUCGAGCUUCCAUAGCGUAGUAAUCAUACACCUCGUUACUGGUAAUCGUCGCGGCCACGCCGUUAAACCCCAACUUCUGAAUGUUGACCUCGGAUCAGGUAGGAAUACCCGCUGAACUUAAGC